rnacentral:tRNA from 1 species
GGCUCCAUAGUGUAGUGGUUAGCACAUCUGCUUUAUACACAGAGGUCCUGCGUUCGCGCCCCAGGUGGAGCCA